ACAUCAGUGGUGUAAUGGUAACAUAAGCGCCUUCCAAGCGGUUCUUAAGAAUCAGCGUUCGAAGCACUUGCCCAGGGUUCGAUUCCCUGUUGAUGUA
rfam:Cryptococcus bestiolae CBS 10118 unplaced genomic scaffold supercont1.5, whole genome shotgun sequence.